UACGAAGGGGGCUAGCGUUGUUCGGAAUUACUGGGCGUAAAGGGCGCGCAGGCGGUCCUUCAAGUCAGGCGUGAAGGCCCCGGGCUCAACCUGGGAAUCGCGCUUGAGACUGAGGGACUUGAGUUCGGGAGAGGAGAGCGGAAUUCCCAGUGUAGAGGUGAAAUGCGCAGAUAUCGGGAAGAACACCCGUGGCGAAGGCGGCUCUCUGGGACGGUACUGACGCUGAGACGCGAAAGCGUGGGGAGCGAACAGG
rnacentral:rRNA from 1 species